AGCUCUAGCCCUGGAGGAAGGGAUUGUCGGUGGGUAUUUUUCCAGACUGGCAGUUCUUUUCAAUGUAAUCUGUAUUGGCCUGCCCCUAAAAGCAUCCACCCCAUUUUUCUACCUCUUCCUUAUCUGCUGUUUGGAUAAUAGCCUGCUACAGACUGUAAAACCUGAGAUUCUCCCCCGAGAGGAAUGAAGAGGAGAGUUGGCAAGCAAAGAUGAAUGGAAUUCCUGGGAUGAGGAAACUGAGGCAAACAGAAGUUAAGUGACUUGCCCAGGGUCACACAGCUAGUAAUAAAGGCAAAGACUGAAGCCAAGCCAACUGACAUGAUGACCUCACCUGACAAGUGUAGACCAUAUGCACCAUUUGCAAUCGCACUUUCCUGCUGAGAAGAUGAAGUUUAAGAAAUUGACACAGCCACCCAAGCAAACACCACCCUGAUCAGUCAGCAAUCUUCAACACUGAGGCAAGAUCCUCCACCAGUAGAAAGAUGAUGGCUUGCUGAAGGUUCAGAUGCUGGUUAGCAUUUUUUUAUUAAGGAAACCCUUCUUCAUCUAAUUUCCUGCCAUAUAUCUGCUCAAGGCGCACCAGGCGUGCUGGCAGUUUGGUACCAUUCUCCAGGAUUUCUGAGGCCUCUGAGAUAUCCUCAGGUAAUCUGAAGAGCCAGUCAGAGAUAACCAAUCCAAACACCUGGCUGUGGUUUGUGGCUCCCUUGGCAACAAGUGGUGGUUUCACCUUUGUACCACUGUCUGCCUCCACUGAUUUCUAGUUGGUGAAGGAUGGCUAAUCAGCUGUGCUUUCAAGUGACUCACUAACUGUCCCCUACUAACCUAAUCUUACAGAAGGUUGGUUGUCUCUGAAGCUGGGGUUCUCAACCUGGGUUCCAUGGAUAAAUUUCAGCAGGUCCAUGAACUUGGAUGGAAAAAAAGUUAUAUCUUUAUUUUCACUAAUCUUUAUCUGAAAACGAAGAGGAUAUCCAACAAUUGAGGAAUGACUAGUGAAGUAGGACGGUCCACUGCCUCAUUUCAUCCUUACACCACGCCAGGUGGUGGGGGAGGAAAAGGGAGUGAGAGCUGCUCUUCUGGAAUAACCUGGGAAAAGAGAAGAUCUGAUGCAAAAUGUGAAGUCUUUGCUGCAGAAAGAGCACGUUGGAUUCUGGGUCUGCUGCUCCUAAUGUUGUUUCCCGUAAUUAGGGAAAGCUCUGAGUGGGCUUCAGCAAACUGCUUUUUCCUUCCAACUCUAGCUCUGUUUCCUUGGAAAACAGCCAAGAGCCACCUGUUUGGCUCGGAAUGAAUGGCCUGCUUAUGGAUCCUUGGAACUUUGCUCUCUAAAUUAACUUCUGCCUAAAUUCUAGCUGUCUUGGAUUCAUGCAUCGAGGCACCUUAGGAAAUCCCUCUGACGUGCUUUCCCACCAAAGAAGUUGCUGUUGUGGCCCGUAUUAGUCAAAGUGACAAGGGACAAGUUUGGCUCUUUCACACGUCUGUACUUUAUUUCUGCAAAAAUGAUUUGGGACCGACACCUUCGUUGGCUCAAAAAUCACUGCAGCCUACAACGCAAAAGUAACAAAGCUGUUUCCGGCUUCCCUGGCUUCCUUCAAGUCUCAGCUAAAGCUCACCUUCUGCAAGAAACCUUUCUGGGUCUGCCUUACUGCCUGUGCUUCUUUCUGAGAUAACCUCCAAUUUAUUCUGUAUGUAUUUGGUAUUUGCAGAUUGUAUCCUCCAUUAGAUUGUAAGCUCCCUGACAGCAGGGAUUGUUUUUCCUUUUUUAUGCCCUGAGUUUAGUACAGAGUCUAGCAUGUAUCAGGUGAUUAAGAAAUGCUCGGCUUGCCUUAACUUGAAUAGCAAGUACCCAUGGUCCCUGCCACCCACAAUAUAGCACUGCUAUUAAGUGAUAACACUGGGAUUAGAACAACAGACCAUUGACAGUGCCCCUUCCUUUAUACCAAGGGUUCUUAACCUUUUUUACAGUUACUAAUUUUUCUUUUUUUUUGGUGAGGC